rnacentral:rRNA from 1 species
CAGCCGCCGCGGUAAUACCGGCGGCCCGAGUGGCGGUCACUAUUAUUGGGCUUAAAGCGUCCGUAGCCGGGUUGGGAAGUCCUCCGGGAAAUCUGGCCGCUUAACGGUCAGAAUGCCGGAGGAUACUCCCAGCCUAGGGAGCGGGAGAGGCCGAGGGUAUUCCCGGAGUAGGGGUGAAAUCCUAUAAUCCCGGGAGGACCACCUGUGGCGAAGGCGCUCGGCUGGAACGCGUCCGACGGGGAGGGACGAAGGCCAGGGGAGCAAACCGGAUUAGAUACCCGGGUAGUCCUGGCUGUAAACGAUGCGGACUUUGUGUCGGACAAGCUAUGAGCUUGUCCGGUGCCGGAGGGAAACCGUUAAGUCCCCCGCCUGGGGAGUACGGCCGCAAGGUUGAAACUUAAAGGAAUUGGCGGG